CUGCUGCCUCCCGUAGGAGUCUGGUCCGUGUCUCAGUACCAGUGUGGGGGACCUUCCUCUCAGAACCCCUACGCAUUGUCGCCUUGGUGGGCCGUUACCCCGCCAACAAGCUAAUGCGCCGCAUGCCCAUCCUCCGCCGGAAUCGCUUCCUUUUAACACCCGUGGGAUGCCCCACUGGUGUACCACGCGGUAUUAGUCCGGAUUUCUCCGGGUUAUCCCCCUGCGGAGGGCAGGUUGCAUACGUGUUACUCACCCGUGCGCCGGUCGCCGG
rnacentral:rRNA from 1 species